GAGGGAAAGUUGAAAAGAACUUUGAAGAGAGAGUUCAACAGUACGUGAAACCGUUUAGAGGUAAACGGAAGGGACCGCAGUGGGCUCGUGGAAUUCAGGCGGCGGAACGGUGGUCAGGCGCGUGUGACCGACCCGAGAGGGCGGCCUCGCGUCUGGGCCUGGCUGUGACGUCGCCGCACUUUCCGCGAGCGUAAUGACCAGGACGGGCGUGGUCGUGUCGCGAGAGGUGGCCUCGAGGUAUCGGCCUCUCUGGAGGACCGAGUUUAAGGAGCCAUCGCAGUUGGAAGAACGGCCGCGCCGGGGCCUGUGUGUUUGUCCGAUGCCCGGGGCCCCCGUCCCCUUGGCGAAGUCAACUGGCGUUCACUGUGCGCAGUGCUCGUCGACCGUUCGUCAGGUUCGGUGGGUCAGCCCCGGGUGAUCCGAGGGUCUCUGGUCGCUAGCGGAACCCCGUCCGACCCGUCUUGAAACACGGACCAAGGAGUCUAACAUGUUCGCGAGUCACAGUGCUCAUAGACACUAAGGCGCAAUGAAAGUGAAGGGCGGCUUACGUCGCCUGUGGUAGGAUCCUGGGCUAUCUAGCCCAGGCGCAGUACCGGCCCGUCCCGAUCUCGACGAGAUGAGGCGGAGCUAGAGCGUACACGUUGGGACCCCA
rnacentral:rRNA from 1 species